GUCACACCCUCAUCGUGUUCCACUAGGCAAAACACUACGAAACCUCGGAGAAGCCUAGAACAUCUCAUUCUUCUCUCAAUCCGAAGGUGUUUGAUCCAAUCUUAGAGACCUCUGGUGAGCUUCGCCGCACAAUAAUCAUGGAAAAAUGAUCUGUAAAUAAUGCCUAACUCGUUCAUGUCCUUUGUUUUGCCUGUUGCAUGGAUCGAACAUCUUGUGUCGAGCUCGUCGGUGUCCUCGGUGUCCAGAGCGCCGCCGCUCGUUGCGCCGCCGUUCCCGUCGAUCUCGUCCAUCUCAGAGCAAACCGCUGCACCAUCAUCUUCUCCAAGGUUCCAGGAGGAGGCCAUCCAAGCGAAUCGCGCUGAAGAGCCGCCGACAAAGAGAUCCUUACUUUCUUCCUCAACUCCGGCCAAUCGCCGCCGUCGUCGAUUCCUUCUUCUCCGCUCGUUGCGGGAAUUAAGCUAGCGUCGUCUUCCCGGAGUUUUUGCUGCCACCGCCAUGUCUCUACGUUGUCAGGACCUCCCUAGCCCUGUGCACGGUUUGCCUUGAAGCCACUGCCGCUCGCGCUGCCUCCGGCAUCAAUCCCGGCCAUCUUCGGCGACAAGGCGAACAUCGUCGGGUGCGCAAGAGCCUGGCGCACUUUUCUCAUUUUGGGUGCGACGUCGGCCUCGCCGCCGUUCGCCGCCGACAUCGACGUCAAGCCGCCGGCCGGUGAAGCUCUGAUGCUGCUGCUGUUUCCUCCUCUGCCGAGCCUAUGACAGGUUGACCCCACUUCAUUAAGCACCAAUAACUGUAAUUAGAAAAUAGUUUAAAUCGGCGGCCGGUCACAUUUAGCGGCGGCCGGUCCGGUACUAACCUUCUCCGGUCGUGUGUGUUGGCGCUGUCGGUGUGUGGGUGGUGGUUUUUAUUUUCCUUUUUCCUGAUUACGACCCUCUAGGGUUGUAAUCUUGCAAUUUUUUCCUUCUCUAUAGAAAUUCGCACCGUCUUGUGCGAGCCGUUAAAAAAAAGAAAAUAGUUUAAAUCAUGUAGGGUUCUAUUUGUAAAUAACUAGAGCAUGACAUGUGGGACCUGAAUCUAAUUAUAAAUAUACAAAAACUUGAGCACUCUUAA